GAUGAACGCUAGCGGCAGGCUUAAUACAUGCAAGUCGAGGGGCAGCGGGGGUAGCAAUACCUGCCGGCGACCGGCAAACGGGUGCGGAACACGUACACAACCUUCCUUUUGGUGGGGGGAUAGCCCAGAGAAAUUUGGAUUAAUACCCCGUAGUAUUGUUUGGUGGCAUCACCGGACAAUUAAAGAUUUAUUGCCAGGAGAUGGGUGUGCGUCUGAUUAGGUAGUUGGUGCAGGUAAAGGCNCACCAAGCCAACGAUCAGUAACUGGUGUGAGAGCACGACCAGUCACGACGGGCACUGAGACACGGGGCCCACUCCGUACGGGAGGCAGCAGUAAGGAAUAUUGGUCAAUGGACGCAAGUCUAGAACCAGCCAU
rnacentral:rRNA from 1 species